UCCUCGGUGUCAGCCAACGUUGGAGACACGGUCAGGGAUCACCUCCUCUGGUAGCAGUGGCAGCUAUGGCUGGCAUCAGCAGAAGGUCCCUGGCAGUGGCCCUGUCACUGUGAUCUACAACGAUAA